ACAUACGCAUCACAAUAAGCCGAGGUAGUUUCCGAGCGCCUCACGUGCAUCAUUCGCCGGGGAAACCGGCGAGGAAGCCCUCAUCAAACAUUUUUUUGCAUCUCGCAUUACCUGGCCGGAUAAAAAACAAUCGUAACAACUUUCAACAAUGGAUCUCUUGGCUCUGGCAUCGAUGAAGACGCAGCGAAAUGCGAUAAGUAGUGUGAAUUGCAGAAUUCAGUGAAUCAUCGAAUCUUUGAACGCACAUUGCGCCCCUUGGUAUUCCAUGGGGCAUGCCUGUUCGAGCGUCAUCUACACCCUCAAGCUCUGCUUGGUGUUGGGCGUCUGUCCCGCCUCUGCGCGCGGACUCGCCCCAAAGGCAUUGGCAGCGGUCCACGGCCCCUCUCGCGCAGCACAUUGCGCUUCUCGAGGCGGCCCGACCCGCAUCCACGAAGCCCACAUUACCGUCUUUGACCUCGGAUCAGGUAGGGAUACCCGCUGAACUUAAGCAUAUCAUAGCCCGGAGGAAAUUCCC
rnacentral:rRNA from 1 species